GAUGAACGCUGGCGGCGUGCCUAAUACAUGCAAGUCGAGCGAACAGAUGAGGAGCUUGCUCCUCUGACGUUAGCGGCGGACGGGUGAGUAACACGUGGAUAACCUACCUAUAAGACUGGGAUAACUUCGGGAAACCGGAGCUAAUACCGGAUAAUAUAUUGAACCGCAUGGUUCAAUAGUGAAAGACGGUUUUGCUGUCACUUAUAGAUGGAUCCGCGCCGCAUUAGCUAGUUGGUAAGGUAACGGCUUACCAAGGCAACGAUGCGUAGCCGACCUGAGAGGGGGAUCGGCCACACUGGAACUGAGACACGGUCCAGACUCCUACGGGAGGCAGCAGUAGGGAAUCUUCCGAAAUGGGCGGAAGCCUGACGGAGCAACGCCGCGUGAGUGAUGAAGGUCUUCGGAUCGUAAAACUCUGUUAUUAGGGAAGAACAAAUGUGUAAGUAACUAUGCACGUCUUGACGGUACCUAAUCAGAAAGCCACGGCUAACUACGUG
rnacentral:rRNA from 1 species